rnacentral:rRNA from 1 species
GAUGAACGCUGACAGAAUGCUUAACACAUGCAAGUCGACUUGAUUCUCCUUCGGGAGAUGAAGGUGGCGGACGGGUGAGUAACGCGUAAACAAUCUGCCCUGCAGUCUGGGAUAUCAGUUGGAAACGACUGUUAAUACCGGAUAUUAUGAGAACCUCGCAUGGGGAAUUCAUGAAAGCUAUAUGCGCUGGAGGAGGAGUUUGCGUUCCAUUAGCUAGUUGGUGAGGUAACGGCUCACCAAGGCGACGAUGGAUAGCCGGCCUGAGAGGGUGAACGGCCACAAGGGGACUGAGACACGGCCCUUACUCCUACGGGAGGCAGCAGUGGGGAAUAUUGGACAAUGGGCCACGAGCCUGAUCCAGCAAUUCUGUGUGCACGAUGAAGGUCUUCGGAUUGUAAAGUGCUUUCAGUUGGGAAGAAGAAAGUGACGGUACCAACAGAAGAAGCGACGGCUAAAUAUGUG